rnacentral:rRNA from 1 species
AACGAACGCUGGCGGCAGGCUUAACACAUGCAAGUCGAGCGCCCCGCAAGGGGAGCGGCAGACGGGUGAGUAACGCGUGGGAAUCUACCCAUCUCUACGGAAUAACGCAUGGAAACGUGUGCUAAUACCGUAUACGUCCUUCGGGAGAAAGAUUUAACGGAGAUGGAUGAGCCCGCGUUGGAUUAGCUAGUUGGUGGGGUAAAGGCCUACCAAGGCGACGAUCCAUAGCUGGUCUGAGAGGAUGAUCAGCCACACUGGGACUGAGACACGGCCCAGACUCCUACGGGAGGCAGCAGUGGGGAAUAUUGGACAAUGGGCGCAAGCCUGAUCCAGCCAUGCCGCGUGAGUGAUGAAGGCCCUAGGGUUGUAAAGCUCCUUCACCGGUGAAGAUAAUGACGGUAACCGGAGAAGAAGCCCCGGCUAACUUCGUGCCAGCCGCCGCCGUAAUAC